UGGCGUCUACCCCCGUGACGACCACAUUAUCUGCAGGAAUGUGAGUCGAGUCAUUUCCAAUAAUGAUUCCGCCAGCUUCCACACCUCCAGACAAGUGAGUGUGGGUGACAUGGGGCUGGAGAGGGAGGGAGUUUGAGAUGCUUGUCAACUUGACUUCCAAGCCCCUCAUUCACUGUAAUGUGAUGCAGAGGUUAAUUGUGGAGCUGUGUAAUAAGUGUUAAUGUUGUUGCCUCUGACGUCAGUAAAGAUGUGCAGGGGACGUUUGAUGAAUCCCUUUCUGUACUGGUGAGAUAAUCAUUUAUUGUUUUAGAACACUAAAUAUGUAUCGUGUAGCCAUUAACCCCUUACCAGACACCCCCCAUUUUGGCAAGUGGGGCAUAAAUGACAUACCCAAAAUAAAAAUGUUGCUGCUCAUAAGUCAUUCUGAAUAGACCAACAUAUAUUUAGAAAGCAAACACUUGAGAGUUUAAGACUCAGAAUUACUCAGACUGUUAUUAAUAUAGAGAUAUAUAAGCUCAAACAUAAAAGCAAAACUUAGAAUGUAUAAAAAUAUUAUAUGAAUGUAGUAUAACAACUUAUAACCACAACUAAAGUGAAGCCACAAGUGUGGUCAUGGUUCAUUUCAAAUCUGAGGAUAUCUCUAAAAUGAUGCAUUCUACGAAGCAUUUUGUAUAAGCAUGUCAGGUGAGUUUUUUUUUUUAUUUUUUAUCAAGGCUGAUAAUAUGCUAAUCAUUAUAUGUUAUUGCCCUGUAAACACAUAUAUACUGACUAAUGUCUGGCGAGGAGUAACUGCUCAAUUCAUGCUCUAUUGUUUUCACUCAAUGAACCUUUCACAUGUCUGUCAUGAAUGAGACUUAAUCUUUAUUGUUCUUUUAUAGUUAUUUUUUUGUUUGUAUUCAGCCAUUAUAGCCUUUUUUUUUUCUUUUCUUUUAAUGGGUGAUUCCCAGAGGUUCGAGAUUUAGCAUGCUCCACGUCAACCUUACUCGCUCGUUGUGACUUACAGACUUAUGGUCCUCCUGGGAAGUUUGUAUUUACCAGGUGGGAAGUCAUGUUUACGACGUCAGGUGCGUUCAAGUCACUUUCGUCGGAGCAAGAUGGCAGAGCAGUUUUCGAGAGUGUUGCCCUGUCCGAAUACCCACACUUGCAGUCUUUGCACUUGACCACUCGUGUACUUACAUUACGUAUUUCCUGUAUUUGGCCCAAGUGUUCAAGUAGGCUUGAAGACUGCAAGUGUGUGUAGAACUUUUGAUUACCUGAUGUGACACACUUAUAGUCUUGCAAAAAAUGCAAGUUUACGGAGCUUUUUUUAUUUUCAAUACUUUGCAUUUUAAAACAAACUUUUAAAUGUCUGUUCAGUAGUCGCUAUGUAACUAACAAAAGACACAAUUUUAAAAUUGUGGUGCUUCUAAUUAAAUGAUAAAAAGCAGUUGCUAAUGUUGUACAAAUACACAUACCCUACCCAUAUUUGCACCAAUAAAAUGUGCAGCACUUUAUGUUUUACUGCCAAAAUAUAUGUAAUAUCUAAUUAAUUUAACUUACAGUGGAAUGUUUUCCUCAACAUCUCGCGAUUUCGGCAUGUGAGCUUCCGUACAUAAUGCAUGAUGGCAUACGCUUAACCUCGAAUACCGCUCCGAAUGCGCACUUGCUUCCUGUCGCGUGCAUGAGCUCUCAAGUGGCCAAGAUCGCAAAUGUGGGUAUUUGGACAGGGCAUACGCCUUCAUGCACCAUGUUCAGGAACUCACGUGCCCUGAAAUCGUGAGACGUCAAGGAAAACAUUCCACUGUAAUCAAAAGUUCUACACACUUCCGGUCUUCGUGCCCGUUUGAAGACUUGUCAUUCAUCAUAGUGAAUCAGGCACAGAAAUAGAGCCCAUAUGAUUGCUUGAGGAACGCACCUGUUGGCACAUUUGCAUUAUUUCCCCAUGUCUGGUGCAGACUGGAUUGAUCUGGCUGAGGAUGAGAACAUCAAUGCCGUAAGUAG